UUAUAAGGCCAAAUUCAAUGGUAUAUGUGCAUGUAGAAGUAAAUUUUGAAGUAAUUAACAUGACUUAAUGCUGUAUACUAAUAAACCCAGCCACUAGGGAGCAGUUCCCUCCCCCGGGGGUACGCUGUUCCCUAAGAAAUCAGGCUGGGAAGGAUGUACAGAAGGUGAGGUUGAUUAAAGACAGAGAGGGAAAUGUCAUUACGAGUGAGGAAAGUGUGCUGAGGAGAUGGAAAGAAUACUUUGAGGAGUUGUUAAAGGAGGAAAACAAUAGGGAACGUAGGAAUGAAGAAGGUCGAUCAGGUUAGAAAAAAUGAAGUCAGGUAAGCAUUAAAAAGGAUGAAGAGUGGUAAGGCAGUUGGUCCAGAUGACAUACCAGUGGAGGUAUGGAAGUGCUUAGGGGAGGUGUCGGUUGAUUUUCUGACUAGGUUGUUUAAUAGAAUAAUUAACCAUGAAUAUGUUUGAAAAAAUCCGCGAUGCACUGAAGCCGCGAUAAACGAACCGCGAAAUAACGAGGUAUCACUGUAGU